AUUUUUAUGGAGAGUUUGAUCCUGGCUCAGGAUGAACGCUGGCGGCGUGCCUAAUACAUGCAAGUCGAGCGAAC
rnacentral:rRNA from 1 species